rnacentral:rRNA from 1 species
AUGAAACGUGGAGGCGCUAGGGCUAGGUGCCUUAUUGAUGAUGAUUGUGGGCAUUGCUCGCAUUAUCUUUUAUUUUCUCUUUUAGCUCUAUGUCGGUCGAAUACAACAUCUGGUGACCAAUUUUACGGCAAGGUUGCACUAAGGGUGAUAUCAUCGCGCACGGUUCGUCAGGCCAUUCAGGCAAACAAUUGGGCAAGGGACAUCGGCCCCAACAUUGAUCUCCUCACCAUCAACGUGUACCUGUUGUUGCGUCCUACGAUGGGAAGAAAUCCGCAAGAGGAUUUGAGGGCGAUCAUAACGCUCACCAUGUGGGAGCUAUGGAAGCACCGACAUGUGGUCAUAUUCGAUGGAGUCACUCCUUUGACACAACACGCCAUUAGCAAUGUGGACCGCGAGGGCAGGGCGUGGAGGACGGUUGGCAUACUAAAACAGAAACUAGAGUUCUUCUUUGGUGCACUAGUUAGUUUUCCUUACGAUGAAUUGAGCACGACGACUCGUCACCAUCAAUAUCAUUUUGUGGCAUGGACCCUCCAAAACAUCGGGUACAUUAUUGGAGAUGAAUUGCCGCCCUUUGGGCCUAGAAGGCUGGGGCCGGUUACCCGACCGGCACUGGCAGCUGGCAGGGCUGUCCUAUUCAGCAUUCAACCAUUGGCAGCCAACUCGCCGAUCAAUCUAGCUAGAACGACCGAACCGACCGGAAGAGUCUUCCGUGUUCCAGAUCACCUGCCUGCCCUGCUCGUCAUCUUAAGCCCAGCGGGUUCAUCUCACCUGCUCACCAUAUACGACUAG